rnacentral:rRNA from 1 species
UACAGAGGGGGCAAGCGUUGUUCGGAAUUACUGGGCGUAAAGGGCGCGUAGGCGGCUUAGCAAGUCGGAUGUGAAAUCCCUCGGCUCAACCAAGGAAGUGCAUCCGAAACUGCUGAGCUUGAGUACUUAAGAGGAUCGCGGAAUUCCGGUGUAGCGGUGAAUGCGCAGAUAUCGGAGGAACACCAAUGGCGAAGGCAGCUUGCUGGACGGUAC